rnacentral:lncRNA from 1 species
AGUGACAGCAUAGUUUUCUGCGGGAUCGGUGCCUGGUCCCUGUGGGGCUCCUCAGACAGAUGUGAACAACCGCUGCCUGCCACGGCGGUUGCAGAAAGAAGCCAGGGCUCCCUGCCCCCUGUCACCCCUUCAGAUGGUCCCUCCUGCAAAGGAGAAGGGAAGCAUAGCACUUCCACUUACAUUAGACCUGUCUAUUUUUUUUUUCCUUCCCUAGAUAUUCUUUAUUUAGCUUAGCCCAGCUCUACCCAUGAAUGUCUAUGGAUGCAUCUGCUAAAUACUGAAGGAGAGCCCGGAGGCACCAUCUCCCCGGCCGCGCAGGUGGGUGUCACAGAGCAGCUUCUGGGGAAUGCCAGUGCCCCAAAACUGAGGUGGGUGGCAGAAAAUCCUCUGGUUGGAAGUUGUGAAAAGGUAAAUUAACAGGGGAUUAAUUUUGCCUUCUGUUCUCUGAGUUUUGAGGUGAUACUUGGCAAAUUUCUUUAGGAAGCAAUUCUUUGCUGUGAGGGUGGUGAGACACUGGAACAGGUUGCCCAGGAAAGUUGGGGAUGCCCCAUCCCUGGAGGUGUCCAAGGCCAGGCUGGAUGGGGCUUUGAGCAACCUGGUCUGGUGGGAGGUGAUCCUGCCCGUGGCAUGGGGGUGGGAACUGGAUGAUCUUUAAGAUCCCUUCCAACUCUAACCAUUCUAUGAUUCUAUCAUUCUAUGAAAUGUAUUAAAGGAUUUUUUUUCCUGCAGUGACCUGGAUUAGAAACUGGGCAGGAUGAGGAGACCACUCCAGCAUGUGAAAGACGUGAAGGUUUUCAAAGAACGAGGUCAACACACACUCACUUAAGGGAAAGACAUGCUGUUUUUCCUCUCUCUGGCAAGGAGAGGUGCCAGGGUUGUGUCAUUCAAGAGCACCGCUGGAUUUGAUCAGAAGGUGGGCUCUGUCCGAUGCUACCCAGGCUCAGAGGUCUAUGGAGAACCAGCUCUCUCUUCAUCCCAUCUGCACUGGGGAGCUGUAACCCAUGGCUGCGACUCUCCAAGGAGUAGAAGGUGAUGAGCACAUUUGAGGUCUAGCUAAAGCAAGUAGGUGCAGAGGGAUGCCAAAUGACCUCACAGUUUUUGAAACUUUUUGGAAUACCUUUCUACAAGAUAGG